rnacentral:misc_RNA from 1 species
GAUGAAGAACGUAGCGAAAUGCGAUAAGUAAUGUGAAUUGCAGAAUUCAGUGAAUCAUCGAAUCUUUGAACGCACAUUGCGCCCGCCAGUAUUCUGGCGGGCAUGCCUGUUCGAGCGUCAUUUCAACCAUCAAGCCCCAGGCUUGUGUUGGGGGCCUGCAGCUGCUGCAGCCCCCUAAAAGCAGUGGCGGACUCGCUGUCAUACCGAGCGCAGUAGUUACAUCUCGCUCUGGGCAUGGCGGCGGGCACCUGCCGUAAAACACUCUUUCUAAGGUUGACCUCGGAUCAGGUAGGAAUACCCGCUGAACUUAAGCAUAUCAAUAGCGGAGGA